UACGUAGGGGGCAAGCGUUGUCCGGAUUUACUGGCGUAAAGAGCGUGUAGGCGGCCAAGCAGGUCCGUUGUGAAAACUGGAGGCUUAACCUCCAGACGUCGACGGAAACCGCGUGGCUAGAGCCGGAAGAGGAGAGUGGAAUUCCUGGUGUAGCGGUGAAAUGCGCAGAUAAUCAGGAAGAACACCAUGGCGAAGGCAGCUCUCUGGGACGGU
rnacentral:rRNA from 1 species